GUUGCAAAGCUGAAACUUAAAGGAAUUGACGGAAGGGCACCACCAGGAGUGGAGCCUGCGGCUUAAUUUGACUCAACACGGGAAAACUCACCCGGCCCGGACACUGGAAGGAUUGACAGAUUGACAGCUCUUUCUUGAUUCAGUGGGUAGUGGUGCAUGGCCGUUCUUAGUUGGUGGAGCGAUUUGUCUGGUUAAUUCCGAUAACGAACGAGACUCUACCCUAUUAAAUAGUGACAGUAUUGUAUUUUUUGUGCUGAUCACUUCUUAGAGGGACUGGCAAAUUGAAAGCUGCACGAAAAAGAGCAAUAACAGGUCUGUGAUGCCCUUCGAUGUCCGGGGCUGCACGCGCGCUACAAUGAAAGCGUCAACGUGAGUUACGUCCUUACCUGAAAAGGUUUGGCAAUCGAAUGAAACUUUUUCUUGAAUGGAAUAGGGAAUUGCAACUGCUUUUGGGGGGGGGGGGGAAAACACCCCCCCCUUUUUUUUUUUUCCCCCCCCCCCGAUUACCUCCCCUGCCCUUUGUACACAACGACCGUCGUUACUAUCGAUUGAAUGAUUUACUGA
rnacentral:ncRNA from 1 species